AGCUUUUAUAGCAAAGCCAAGAACAGGAUAACAAAAUAAUAACCACCACUUACAAGACCACGCCAGGUCUUGUGUAAGGAUCUGGCCCCUCACGUACAUUAUCUCAUUGUGUUUAAUCGUCACAGCAUCUUCCCUGCGGUGGACACCCUCCUCAAUUUGAAGAUGAAACAGUGACACACAGGGAUGGGCUCAGACACUGAAGCAGCAGACCUCGCUGAGGCCACGCCCACGUCCUUCUCUUAUCUUCCCCCCCCCCCCGCCCCCCAAUGUGGCCGAGUAACCACGGCGACAGGGAGGACCAGGACCGGUGGGAGGAACAAUGCUAACUGAAUGUUUGUUCUGUCACUGUGUUCCACUGGGUGGCAAAGAGCUUUACAAUCAAUAUAGUCAGAGACAUCAAGUCAAUGUAUUCUGAAGGCAGCUCACAGGAAGAGAAGGCGAUGCUCCUGACUCAGGACAACCCGUGAAUCUGUCCAGGAAUCAUCCAGCUGAGAAAACAAUCUGCCUUUCAAGUCACUGAUAAAUUCUUUCCACUUAAUCUUUAUUUAAGGAACAGUGUUAAUUAGCUGUGACUAUCUCAUGUAAUUAUCUUAACACAGAAUUGGUACUGAAUGCUGAUAAAGGCAAUCUCAAGAGACAAUGAGGAUUGAUGAGAUUCCAGGCUCUGUGAAACCAGAGAUGGAGCGUGUCUAUUUCAUCAAGGAUCCAUUUCUCUAGCACCCAGCCCAGUGUUUCUGACAGAGUUAACACUAAUAAACUUUUGCUGCAUAAAUGAACUUGUCCA
ensembl:lncRNA